AUUCUACUCCCUUCGUCCCAAAAUUCUUGUCUUAUAUUUGUGUAGAUAUGAAUGUAUCUAGUCAAGUUUUAGUAUUUAGAUACGUUCAUUUCUAGACAAAGUUAAGACAA
rnacentral:pre_miRNA from 1 species